rnacentral:snRNA from 1 species
AGCUUUGCGCAGUGGCAGUAUCGUAGCCAAUGGGAUUUAUCCGAGGCGCGAUUAUUGCUAUUUUCACAAUUAUUAUUUAACCUAAUACCCUACAUGGGAGAAGGAAGUUCUGGGGAAACAAAUGAG